ACUCCCUCCUACCAUGUAGCACUGAUGUAUGAUGCUAAAGCUGUUUCCCUGGAACACAUAGGAACCAGACUUGAGCAAGGAAGGUCAAAGUGAAAUGAAAGCACCAGUGCUCAUCUCAAGCUUUGUUCACAGUUCUGCAACAAGAGAAGCACUGUGGAGAAAGUGGCAGCUGUCUCUGUCCCAGUUCCUCAGGUGAUCCCCCUUGGAAUCCCUCUUCCAGGGAAGGCUAACCAUGAAGUAGACACAAAUGCUCUUCUAGAAAUGAAAUCAGGUCUGAAUGAGAGCUUUGAAUCCAGAUGGCACCAUGUCUUGAAUGCAGACAUCUGCUGCCAGUGAAUACACCCACUUGCACUGGACGUGAGUCACCAGUAGCUCCACAGGUGCAUCCCCAAACCAACAUCUGCAUAAAGGUGUGCGAGGCCACGAAACCCCAUGGAACCCUUCAGCGGAGGCACCAGGAGAUGACAGCUGCCCCACGGAACACAAGCUACUGGUGGAGGAGGCAAGAGCAGCUGCUCUGGUGGUUCCCAUCUUGGUGUCUCGGAUCCGGUGACACCUGUGGACACAGGAGUGUGGAAUGAGGUGGCCGUGACGCCCUGUUCCAUUGCCCAGGUUGAGAUGUGAACCCUCGCAUGCUCCACCUCGGGACUAAAGGCACUGAAGAAGAGCAAACUGUGAGGGACCUCCCCGAGCCAGCUGGGCAGAGGUUGGUCGCUG